AACACGACUCUCGGCAACGGAUAUCUCGGCUCUCGCAUCGAUGAAGAACGUAGCAAAAUGCGAUACCUGGUGUGAAUUGCAGAAUCCCGCGAACCAUCGAGUUUUUGAACGCAAGUUGCGCCCGAGGCCUUCUGGUUGAGGGCACGUCUGCCUGGGCGUCACGC
rnacentral:rRNA from 1 species